UGGGGAAUAUUGCACAAUGGGCGCAAGCCUGAUGCAGCCAUGCCGCGUGUAUGAAGAAGGCCUUCGGGUUGUAAAGUACUUUCAGCGGGGAGGAAGGGAGUAAAGUUAAUACCUUUGCUCAUUGACGUUACCCGCAGAAGAAGCACCGGCUAACUCCGUGCCAGCAGCCGCGGUAAUACGGAGGGUGCAAGCGUUAAUCGGAAUUACUGGGCGUAAAGCGCACGCAGGCGGUUUGUUAAGUCAUAUGUGAAAUCCCCGGGCUCAACCUGGGAACUGCAUCUGAUACUGGCAAGCUUGAGUCUCGUAGAGGGGGGUAGAAUUCCAGGUGUAGCGGUGAAAUGCGUAGAGAUCUGGAGGAAUACCGGUGGCGAAGGCGGCCCCCUGGACGAAGACUGACGCUCAGGUGCGAAAGCGUGGGGAGCAAACA
rnacentral:rRNA from 1 species